UACGGGGGGGGCAAGCGUUGUUCGGAAUUACUGGGCGUAAAGGGCGCGUAGGCGGUUCGCUAAGUUGAAUGUGAAAACUCUGGGCUUAACCCAGAGCCUGCAUCCAAAACUGGCGAACUGGAGUACUGGAGGGGAAAGCGGAAUUCCUGGUGUAGCGGUGAAAUGCGUAGAUAUCAGGAGGAACACCGGUGGCGAAGGCGGCUUUCUGGACAGUAACUGACGCUGAGGCGCGACAGCGUGGGGAGCAAACAGG
rnacentral:rRNA from 1 species